AGAGUUUGAUCCUGGCUCAGAACGAACGUUGGCGGCGUGGAUUAGGCAUGCAAGUCGAACGAAUCCCGUGGGGGUAACUCUGCGGGGGAAGUGGCGAAAGGGGCAGUAAGGCGUGGGUAACCUACCCUGGAGUCGGGUAUAGCCUUCCUAACGGAUGGGUAAUCCCCGAUGGCCCAGCGAGAUGACAUCUUCUUGCUGGUAAAGAGUUUCGCUCCGGGAGGGGCCCACGUGCUAUUAGCUAGUUGGCGGGGUAACGGCCCACCAAGGCUAAGAUGGCUAGCGGGUGUGAGAGCACGACCCGCGCCACUGGCACUGAGACACUGGCCAGACACCUACGGGUGGCUGCAGUCGAGGAUCUUCGUCAAUGGGCGAAAGCCUGAACGAGCGACGCCGCGUGCGCGAUGAAGGCCUUCGGGUUGUAAAGCGCGAAAGGUAGGAGGAAAGCCGAAAGGUUUGACCGACUACCAGUAAGCUCGGGCUAAGUUCGUGCCAGCAGCCGCGGUAAGACGAACCGAGCGAACGUUGUUCGGAAUCACUGGGCUUAAAGGGCGCGUAGGCGGGCAUUCAAGUCCGUGGUGAAAUCCGGCAGCUCAACUGUCGAACUGCCGCGGAUACUGGGUGUCUCGAGGGAGGUAGGGGCGUGCGGAACUAUUGGUGGAGCGGUGAAAUGCGUUGAUAUCAAUAGGAACUCCGGUGGCGAAGGCGGCACGCUGGACCUUUUCUGACGCUGAGGCGCGAAAGCCAGGGGAGCAAACGGGAUUAGAUACCCUAGUAGUCC
rnacentral:rRNA from 1 species